AAAAUGGGCAAGCAUAAAGCGACUGGAUCAGAGCAUUUUCAAAGCGGCAGGCACCCUGGAGGUCCAGAACAGGAAUAUUCUUUUUCAUGUCAAACCCCAGACCAACCAAAGAUUGUUUAAAUUUACACAGGAGACCCAGAACGAGACUAUCCUUUUUAACCACCUACCGGAUUCACGGACCAAACUUCAGAUCACCGACACACGUACUACUCAUAAUAUGUAUGAAAAGAAACCAAAAACACGGCUGGUUUCCAUGGUGACCGUUUCAGAGUGCUUUCUAACCUAUGAAAUGGCCGCGCCGGUUCCCCUUCUAAACUACAAACCCCAGAAUCCCUGAAAACGGAAAUAGAAGACGGCGAUACGUCACUUCCGCCGUCUGUCUCUCCAAACGGAACAAACCUUCAGGGAUUAUUUUCUGGGGAAGUUUCACCAGCAGCGGUGCAACACAAUAUCCGGCGGAAACACCAUAUAUGGUCAUGUAGUAGUUCACUAUGGAAACUACAUUACCCAGAAUUCCAAGCUCCGUUUUUUAAUGGAGAAGAAAAUAUGUUUUAAAGUGUUUUUCCUGCUGUACUUUUUUACCAUGCAUGAUACUAGUGUUUAUGUAUAUGUUAUUAUGAAUUUGUGUGAUGAAUAAUCAUGUUUUUAAACAAAAUUAAUUUUCAUUGUAAUUAAUGAUGUCAUUUCCGGCUACAAACGGAACAAACCUUCAGGGAUUAUUUUCUGGGGAAGUUUCACCAGCAGCGGUGCAACACAAUAUCCGGUGGAAACACCAUAUAUGGUCAUGUAGUAGUCCACUAUGGAAACUACAUUACCCAGAAUUCCAAGCUCCGUUUUUUAAUGGAGAAGAAAAUAUGUUUUAAAGUGUUUUUCCUGCUGUACUUUUUCACCAUGCAUGAUACUAGUGUUUAUGUAUAUGUUAUUAUGAAUUUGUGUGAUGAAUAAUCAUGUUUUUAAACAAAAUUAAUUUUCAUUGUAAUUAAUGAUGUCAUUUCCGGCUACUCAUUCAUUGGAUGUUCAUAGCAUAAAUAUGCUUACUCCUCACAGUGCAGAUAGUUCAUGAUUAAGGUCCAUUCGAGACCGAAACGCGUCGGAUGACUGUACUGUGAGUAGUUUUUCUGGAAAAAGGGAAUAAUCACGCCGAUUAUUAUCUCAAAUUUUGCCUUUGGAAUUUUUAUUGUACUUUUAAAUUUUUACUUUUUUAUUUUUUC